GGCUCUGUGGCGCAAUGGACAGCGCGUUGGACUUCUAAUUCAAAGGUUGUGGGUUCGAGUCCCACCAGAGUCA